rnacentral:lncRNA from 1 species
GGCGAGAUGAUGCUGGCCGAAAUGCACUGGUUGAAGCGGAUCCUUUCCAUCCAAGAGCCCCUUCAAAUUCCAAUGGAGCAACAGGCAUCCCAGGGGCAGCUGUCGCCUUUGAAGCAGAAACAACAGAGAUGCAGGUAGAUGUGGGAUCUUCAACAUGAUCUAUAUCAUCUGAGCAAAACUCUAGAUUCAGAUCAAAAUCACACUGGCCCUUCUCAACAUUGGCGUCAAGAUCGGUACCCUGAGAGGGUUCCACCUUUACUUUUUCAUAGGGCAGCUGUUGCCUUCGAAGCAGAAACAACAGAUAUGCAGGUAGAUACGGGAUCUUCAACAUGAUCUAUAUCGUCUGAGCAAACCUCUAGAUUCAGAUCAAAAUCACACUGGCCCUUCUCAGCAUUGGCGUCAAGAUCAGUACCCUGAGAGGAUUCCACCUUUACUUUUUCAUUUU